UACGUAGGUGGCAAGCGUUAUCCGGAAUUAUUGGGCGUAAAGAGCGCGCAGGUGGUUAAUUAAGUCUGAUGUGAAAGCCCACGGCUUAACCGUGGAGGGUCAUUGGAAACUGGUUGACUUGAGUGCAGAAGAGGGAAGUGGAAUUCCAUGUGUAGCGGUGAAAUGCGUAGAGAUAUGGAGGAACACCAGUGGCGAGGGCGGCUUCCUGGUCUGUAACUGACACUGAGGCGCGAAAGCGUGGGGAGCAAACAGG
rnacentral:rRNA from 1 species